GACGAACGCUGGCGGCGUGCUUAACACAUGCAAGUCGAACGAAGAGCGAUGGAAGCUUGCUUCUAUCAAUCUUAGUGGCGAACGGGUGAGUAACGCGUAAUCAACCUGCCCUUCAGAGGGGGACAACAGUUGGAAACGACUGCUAAUACCGCAUACGAUCUAAUCUCGGCAUCGAGGAAAGAUGAAAGGUGGCCUCUAUUUAUAAGCUAUCACUGAAGGAGGGGAUUGCGUCUGAUUAGCUAGUUGGAGGGGUAACGGCCCACCAAGGCGAUGAUCAGUAGCCGGUCUGAGAGGAUGAACGGCCACAUUGGGACUGAGACACGGCCCAGACUCCUACGGGAGGCAGCAGUGGGGAAUCUUCCGCAAUGGACGAAAGUCUGACGGAGCAACGCCGCGUGAGUGAUGACGGCCUUCGGGUUGUAAAGCUCUGUUAAUCGGGACGAAAGGCCUU
rnacentral:rRNA from 1 species